rnacentral:rRNA from 1 species
GACGGGGGAUGCAAGCGUUAUCCGGAAUCACUGGGCGUAAAGCGUCUGUAGGUGGUGAUGCAAGUCACUGGUGCAAAACUCUGGCUCAACCGGAGGAAAGCCAGAGAAACUGCAUGACUAGAGUGUGGGAGAGGUAGAAGGAAUUCCCUGAGUAGCGGUGAAAUGCGUAGAUACAGUGAAGAACACCGGAGGCGAAAGCGUUCUACUGGAACACAACUGACACUGAGAGACGAAACCUACGCGAGCGAAUGGG